GCCGAGGUAGCUCAGCAGGUAGAGCAGCUGAUUUGUAAUCAGCCGGUCGUCAGUUCGAGUCUGAUCCUCGGCU
rnacentral:tRNA from 1 species